GCCUGGCUGGCUCAGUAGGUAGAGCAUGUGAUUCUUGAUCUCAGGGCCAUGAGUUCAAGGCCCAUGUUGGCUA
rnacentral:tRNA from 1 species